rnacentral:lncRNA from 1 species
AGGUCGCAGCUUACCUUCGGCAUCCAUAGACCUGUCAAUUAGCCCUCUCCCUGUAUUCUGAUUCAUUUCCAGCAGCAGACGUGCCAAAGACUGGCAGGAACUCAGGGAAAUAUAUCCUGAGCACAGGUGGUAUGUUGAAUAUGCCUUGGUGCUUUAUUUGAACUAACCAACUGAUACAUUUAAACAAUAUAGGCAUGAGACGGAGGGGGAAACUAGGAGACAGAACUGGCGAUAAAUUUGAGAGACUCACUGCUACCUCUAGGUCGAGAUGAGAUUUCUGUCGUGCAUUAAGCUAAUUUGGAUUGUGAAUGAAUACAAGUCCAGGAAGUCGAUUCUGAGACCCGAUACCCUGCGAGGGGAGUGCAGGAUAAGCAGGAGACAUUAAUUAGCGCUGCCUUAAGCAGUUUUACCGACGCAGGCGGGACUGUGGUGGAGCACUGGAGAUGCUGCGAGCCCUGAGCUGCCUUCACAGCCUUGUUGGGUGUGCUGCUGGAUCACACUGCAUGAGAAAUGGAAGCAACCUAUCUGUAAAGAGCCUGCAAACCUCAGGACGCUCUGGAAGCCAGUGGAAUAAUUACAGUGGGAUGAGGCUGCAAGUCCCCUUGCUUCCUGAGCUGCAUUCAUGGCUGUGUGAAGGGGAGAAAGGAAUACAUUUGAGGUCUUUUCAUGGAAGACACAGAUAUUUUAAUGUUGCGAUACCAUCCAACAGGGUGAGCUGAGAGAACCAACACUAAGAGUUUCACAGAUAGAACACCACUAUUCCCUGUGUAAAACAGGAGGUAGGCAGGC